GUCGCCCUCUCCCCCCUUCUUCUCCUCCUCCCCCCACUAAUGCACAACUGCACAUGAAGGUUGUCUGGCAACCAAGAGAGAUCUCAAGUUUCAUGUCAUGCUACUAUCCGCUCACAUGUGGCCAAUAACAAGCCUUAUUGGAUGGAACAGCUGAAGAUAUUGGACAGGAAAUGGGAGAGGGAGAAAGGAGACAUCAUGCAGCAAAGCCUCACAGGCUGGAGUUGAACCUGGGCUGCUACGGCAGGACUUCACCAUGAGAAAAAGAUUCCCAACCUACAAUCAGACGCUGUCCUUUGAUAGCAGCGCCCUCUUGUGGCUGCAGUGAGCCGGUGUGUUUGUUUUCAUGCUGCCCUACAGUAUUUUCUCACUCGCUGGGUGAAUUCCCUGCUCAGGAUUUUCUCUGGCAGACGAACACAGACAAGCUGCAACAAGGGAACUUCAGUGGCCAGCUCGUCACAUGUCCGCUCAGGCCAAUGGGUGCAAGGAUUAAAUGAAUACAAAAAAGAGGCUCUGUUGUGCACAAUGUUGCCAUUAAUAUAUGUAUAGUCUGUUUCCUAAAAAAAGUGUUCCCAAAAUAAAUGACAAGUACACGUUA